GAUGAAGAACGUAGCGAAAUGCGAUAAGUAAUGUGAAUUGCGGAAUUCAGUGAAUCAUCGAAUCUUUGAACGCACCUUGCGCUCUUUGGUAUUCCGAAGAGCAUGCCUGUUUGAGUGUCAUGAAAAUAUCAACCUUGACUUGGGUUUUGUGCUCUAGUCUCGGCUUGGAAUUGGGUGCUUGCCGCUUUUACGAGCGGCUCACCUUAAAUGUAUUAGCUGGAUCUGUCUUUGAGACUUGGUUUGACUUGGCGUAAUAAGUAUUUCGCUAAGGACAUUCUUCGGAGUGGCCUCGUUUCUAGGACGCUUGUCCGCUUUCCAAUACAAGUUCCACCUCGUGGACAUGACUUUUUAUUAUCUGGCCUCAAAUCAGGUAGGACUACCCGCUGAACUUAAGCAUAUCAAUAAGCGGAGGA
rnacentral:misc_RNA from 1 species